rnacentral:ncRNA from 1 species
GAGCCUGCGGCUUAAUUUGACUCAAAACAGGAAAACAGAUUGAUAGCUCUUUCUCGAAUCUAUGGGUGGUGGUGCAUGGCCGUUCUUAGUUCGUGGAGUGAUUUGUCUGGUUAAUUCCGAUAACGAACGAGACUCAAAUAUUUUAAAAAAGAUGCUUUCAGGAUUAUGGUGUUGAAACUUUUAUCAUAGUGGUAUAAUGGGGAAAAAAGAAACGCCCUCUUAUCCGAUUAACUUGUUAUAUCAAGGAGAGACCUAAAGUUAAAGCUUCAAAGUAUUGUACUUGUUCUA